CGUUGGAACACCGGUUCCCCUACGAUCACCCAAGUUAAGCAUCAUCAAUUCUGGUCAGUACCUCGAUGGGUGAUCGCUAGGGAAUAGCAGGUGCUG